rnacentral:lncRNA from 1 species
AUGAUUCCAUAGCUGCCGGUAAUACCAGGAGUUUAACCACAAGACUGCAGUUUCUUCACAGAUCAUGAGAACUGGCGGUGAAGCAGAGGCUUUCGAAAAAUGUGCCUAGGGGACUAUCUUUGUCUGAAUAACAAUAACCUUUUAGGACUAGGUGUAACGCUCCUACAGAGUGGGUGGCAGGAAGCCAGUCCUUCUUUGGUGGUGGUGGACAUUAGCCUGAGGCCAAGAAGAAAAGGCCAAGCCUCCAGUUUUCCACGUGGGCCCUCUCUAUCUGUCAUGAUUGAGCUUUACACUGAUUUAAGCCUGAAUUUCUGCUUGGACUAAAAAUAAUUAUCAGCAUUUAUAAUGCCACAUGCACAAAGGCUGUCCUUCUUGACUCACCACAAUUAGGAGAAUUGAGGAUGUCACCUCCACUUUCCAGAUAACAAGACUGUGCUUCACUGACAUUAGUGGAAGCUGAGGUUUGCUGACUUUUGCACAAGUAGGACCCACUGCCCGGUCCCUGCAUAGGGCGCCAGGUGAUGGAUUUGAAGGUGCAGUGCAUACAUGCUACUACUGCCAGCACCAUACCCACAGGAUUCCACUCCAUGAUAAAUUCAGUUACCACCCAGGAUUUAUACCCAUUAUUUUUUCUUCAUUUGAAAAUAUUAUGGACAAUACAAACA